rnacentral:rRNA from 1 species
UACGGGGGGGGGCAAGCGUUGUUCGGAAUUACUGGGCGUAAAGGGCUCGUAGGCGGCCAACUAAGUCAGACGUGAAAUCCCUCGGCUUAACCGGGGAACUGCAUCUGAUACUGGAUGGCUUGAGAUUGGGAGAGGGAUGCGGAAUUCCAGGUGUAGCGGUGAAAUGCGUAGAUAUCUGGAGGAACACCGGUGGCGAAGGCGGCAUCCUGGACCAACACUGACGCUGAGGAGCGAAAGCGUGGGGAGCAAACAGG